rnacentral:misc_RNA from 1 species
GAUGAAGAACGUAGCGAAAUGCGAUACGUAAUGUGAAUUGCAGAAUUCAGUUAAUCAUCGAGUCUUUGAACGCACAUUGCGCCCCCUGGUAUUCCGGGGGGCAUGCCUGUCCGAGCGUCAUUGCUGCCCUCAAGCACGGCUUGUGUGUUGGGCCUCCGUCCUCCUCCCGGGGGACGGGCCCGAAAGGCAGCGGCGGCACCGCGUCCGGUCCUCGAGCGUAUGGGGCUUCGUCACCCGCUCUUGUAGGCCCGGCCGGCGCUUGCCGACACAUCAAUCUUUUUUCCAGGUUGACCUCGGAUCAGGUAGGGAUACCCGCUGAACUUAAGCAUAUCAAUAAGCGGAGGA